rnacentral:rRNA from 1 species
GACGAACGCUGGCGGCGUGCUUAACACAUGCCAGUCGAACGGAAAGGCCUCUUUCGGGGGGUACUCGAGUGGCGAACGGGUGAGUAACACGUGAGUAACCUGCCCUUGACUUUGGGAUAACUUCAGGAAACUGGGGCUAAUACCGGAUAGGAGCUCCUGCUGCAUGGUGGGGGUUGGAAAGUUUCGGCGGUUGGGGAUGGACUCGCGGCUUAUCAGCUUGUUGGUGGGGUAGUGGCUUACCAAGGCUUUGACGGGUAGCCGGCCUGAGAGGGUGACCGGCCACAUUGGGACUGAGAUACGGCCCAGACUCCUACGGGAGGAAGCAGUGGGGAAUAUUGCACAAUGGGUGGAAGCCUGAUGCAGCAACGCCGUGUGCGGGAUGACGGCCUUCGGGUUGUAAACCGCUUUCGCUCAUGACGAAGCUUUGUGUGACGGUAGUGGGUAAAGAAGCACCGGCUAACUACGUG